rnacentral:rRNA from 1 species
AGGCGGUGGAGCAUGUGGUUUAAUUCGAAGCAACGCGAAGAACCUUACCAGGUCUUGACAUCCCACUGACCGGCUUAGAGAUAGGCUUUUCCCUUCGGGGACAGUGGUGACAGGUGGUGCAUGGUUGUCGUCAGCUCGUGUCGUGAGAUGUUGGGUUAAGUCCCGCAACGAGCGCAACCCUUGAUCUUAGUUGCCAGCAUUCAGUUGGGCACUCUAAGGUGACUGCCGGUGAUAAACCGGAGGAAGGUGGGGAUGACGUCAAAUCAUCAUGCCCCUUAUGACCUGGGCUACACACGUGCUACAAUGGACGAUACAAAGGGCUGCAAACCCGCGAGGGGGAGCCAAUCCCAUAAAAUCGUUCUCAGUUCGGAUUGUAGGCUGCAACUCGCCUACAUGAAGCCGGAAUCGCUAGUAAUCGUGGAUCAGCAUGCCACGGUGAAUACGUUCCCGGGCCUUGUACACACCGCCCGUCACACCACGAGAGUUUGUAACACCCGAAGUCGGUGAGGUAACCUUUACAGGAGCCAGCCGCCGAAGGUGGGACAGAUGAUUGGGGUGAAGUCGUAACAAGGUAACC